rnacentral:rRNA from 1 species
UACAGAGGGUGCGAGCGUUGUCCGGAAUCACUGGGCGUAAAGGGCGCGUAGGCGGCCUGAUAAGUAGGGGGUGAAAUCCUGUGGCUUAACUGCAGGGCUGCCUCCUAGACUGUUAGGCUCGAGCACGGUAGAGGCAGAUGGAAUUCCCGGUGUAGCGGUGAAAUGCGCAGAUAUCAGGAGGAACACCGGUGGCGAAGGCGGUUCUCUGGGCCUGUACUGACGCUGAGGAACGAAAGCGUGGGGAGCGAACAGG